ACAGGCGCUCUCGAAGACGCUCAGCGAUGCGGCUCCUCCAUCACAGGAUAUAACUUGGGAGAUGCAGAAAGAGAGACACUAACACCUUAAAGGCCUGAACUCGCCUGCACAAGAGCAAGGAUUGCAUGGAAGCUGUUGCCAAGAAAAAUCCUAAGAUUUGGCCACUGGAGGCUCUGAGAUGGUGGCAUGGACCUUUUAUCAUCAGAUACCGCAGCACGGUUUUAGGAACAUACAAGAUUAAUAAUUACACAAGUCAUCAGCGAGACACAAACUUUGGAGGAGCAAACUCUCGCUCGGUGAAAACGUCUCCUCGGUACUCUGCAUGCAGGAUCAGCAAUGAACCUGCCUCUCUGCUGUUGCUCCUCACCGACACUGACCUACCUGCAGAACCACCUCGCUCAGAACUCACUGGUUCUGACUCUGUCAGAAGGCUGCAAAAGUCUACCAGAGGAGGCCUUUAGAGCCGGCAAUAUUCUUCUAAUUUGCUUGGGUUCAAGACAGGGUACUGCUGCACAGCCCCAUUUGGUUGCUUUGUAACCAUGUUUGGUUUGGAGUCCACACGAUCCUCCUGCCUCAGUGUUGAUCUUAUGUAGCAUAGACAAGAAAAUCUGUAACUCAUCUUUAAGUUUGUAGGGUGCUUUCUUUCACCAACAAAUGAGAUGACAUUUACAAAUUCAUAGACGUUAAUGAAACAGUUUUCUCCUAU